rnacentral:rRNA from 1 species
AUUGAACGCUGGCGGCAAGCCUAACACAUGCAAGUCGAACGAGUGGCGGACGGGUGAGUAAUGUCUGGGAAACUGCCUGAUGGAGGGGGAUAACUACUGGAAACGGUAGCUACUACCGCAUACCAUCGGAUGUGCCCAGAUGGGAUUAGCUAGUAGGUGGGGUAAAGGCUCACCUAGGCGACGAUCCCUAGCUGGUCUGAGAGGAUGACCAGCCAAACUGGAAAGGAGACACGGUCCAGAGUCCUACGGGAGGCAGCAGUGGGGAAUAUUGCACAAUGGGCGCAAGCCUGAUGCAGCCAUGCCGCGUGUAUGAAGAAGGCCUUCGGGUUGUAAAGUACUUUCAGCGAGGAGGCGUUACCCGCAGAAGAAGCACCGGCUAACUCCGUGCCAGCAGCAGCGGUAAUUC